rnacentral:siRNA from 1 species
AGUUAAAUAAAAGACAAGGUGUGU